AUUGAACGCUGGCGCCAGGCUUAACACAUGCAAGUCGAGCGGGGGAGGUUGCUUCGGUAACUGACCUAGCGGCGGACGGGUGAGUAAUGCUUAGGAAUCUGCCUAUUAGUGGGGGACAACAUUACGAAAGGGAUGCUAAUACCGCAUACGCUCUACGGGGGAAAGCAGGGGAUCUUCGGACCUUGCGCUACUAGAUGAGCUUAAGUCGGAUUAGCUAGUUGGUGGGGGAAAGGCCUACCAAGGCGACGAUCUGUAGCGGGUCUGAGGGGAUGAUCCGCCACACUGGGACUGAGACACGGCCCAGACUCCUACGGGAGACAGCAGUGGGGAAUAUUGGACAAUGGGCGGAAGCCUGAUCCAGCCAUGCCGCGUGUGUGAAGAAGGCCUUUUGGUUGUAAAGCACUUUAAGCGAGGAGGAGGCUCUUAAGGUUAAUACCCUUGAUGAGUGGACGUUACUCGCAGAAUAAGCACCGGCUAACUCUGUGCCAGCCGCCGCCGUAAGAC
rnacentral:rRNA from 1 species